rnacentral:tRNA from 1 species
AGCUUUAUAGUCAUAAUUAUGAUGCUAGACUGCAAUUCUAGAGGAGUAAGGUGUUUAUUUACUAAGGCUU